rnacentral:rRNA from 1 species
CCUACGGGUGGCUGCAGUGAGGAAUAUUGGUCAAUGGACGCAAGUCUGAACCAGCCAUGCCGCGUGCAGGAAGACGGCUCUAUGAGUUGUAAACUUCUUUUGUACGAGGGUAAACGCAGAUACGCGUAUCUGUCUGAAAGUAUCGUACGAAUAAGGAUCGGCCAAAUCCGGGCCAGCAGCCGCGGUAAUUAGGAGGAUUCAGGCGUUAGCCGGAUUUUUUUGGUUUAAAGGGUGCGUAGGGGGUCGGAUAAGUUAAAGGUGAAAUCCCGAGGCUCAACUUCGGAAUUGCCUCUGAUACUGUUGGGCUAGAGAGUAAUUGCGGUAGGCGGAAUGUGUGGUGUAGCGGUGAAAUGCUUAGAGAUCAUGCAGAACACCGAUUGCGAAGGCAGCUUACCAAGCUACUUCUGACGUUGAAGCACGAAAGCGUGGGGAGCAAACAGGAUUAGAUACCCUAGUAGUC